rnacentral:rRNA from 1 species
UACGUAGGGUGCGAGCGUUGUCCGGAAUUAUUGGGCGUAAAGAGCUCGUAGGCGGUUUGUCACGUCUGCUGUGAAAUCCCGAGGCUCAACCUCGGGCCUGCAGUGGGUACGGGCAGACUGGAGUGCGGUAGGGGAGAAUGGAAUUCCUGGUGUAGCGGUGGAGUGCGCAGAUAUCAGGAGGAACACCGGUGGCGAAGGCGCCACUCUGGGCCGGUACUGACGCUGAGGAGCGAAAGCGUGGGUAGCAAACAGG